CUUGAUACAUGCAGUCGAGCGAAUGGAUUAAGAGCUUGCUCUUAUGAAGUUAGCGGCGGACGGGUGAGUAACACGUGGGUAACCUGCCCAUAAGACUGGGAUAACUCCGGGAAACCGGGGCUAAUACCGGAUAACAUUUUGAACCGCAUGGUUCGAAAUUGAAAGGCGGCUUCGGCUGUCACUUAUGGAUGGACCCGCGUCGCAUUAGCUAGUUGGUGAGGUAACGGCUCACCAAGGCAACGAUGCGUAGCCGACCUGAGAGGGUGAUCGGCCACACUGGGACUGAGACACGGCCCAGACUCCUACGGGAGGCAGCAGUAGGGAAUCUUCCGCAAUGGACGAAAGUCUGACGGAGCAACGCCGCGUGAGUGAUGAAGGCUUUCGGGUCGUAAAACUCUGUUGUUAGGGAAGAACAAGUGCUAGUUGAAUAAGCUGGCACCUUGACGGUACCUAACCAGAAAGCCACGGCUAACUACGUGCCAGCAGCCGCGGUAAUACGUAGGUGGCAAGCGUUAUCCGGAAUUAUUGGGCGUAAAGCGCGCGCAGGUGGUUUCUUAAGUCUGAUGUGAAAGCCCACGGGCUCAACCGUGGAGGGGUCAUUGGAAACUGGGAGACUUGAGUGCAGAAGAGGAAAGUGGAAUUUCCAUGUGUAGCGGUGAAAUGCGUAGAGGAUAUGGAGGGAACACCAGUGGCGAAGGCGACUUUUCUGGUCUGUACCUGACACUGAGGCGCGAAAGCGUGGGGAAGCAAACAGGAUUAGAUACCCUGGAAUCCUCGCCGUAAACGAUGAGUGCUAGUGUUAAAGGGCUUCCUGCCCCUUUAGUGCUGAAGUUAACGCAUUUAA
rnacentral:rRNA from 1 species